GAGUUCAACUCACACUCGAAGCCCUCGCAUCAAUUCCAAGAUGCCUUGGCCGUUCCACUGCUGCGCCGCCUGCAGCUCCUCUGUACAAACGCCCACAAUCUGCCAGCCACAGUACAACAUGUGAGAUUGAGUGUGCUGUGCUUCUCACCCGAUUGGAAGACGUAGCGCGCCAAGCCUUGCAUGAGUUCAGCCGGCCAGGUGGGAGGGGCCGUCUCCCCCAUCUCUCUUUUCAGUCGAAAGGUGAGCUCGAAGCCAAAGCCGCUGGGUUUGUCUAUUCCUGUGAAUCUGACACAAACACAUGUGGUGAGACAUAAAACAGCAGUUGUGCUUUUAGACCCCUCGCAUAUGCAUAAGUCUUGUCAGAGGCACAAUGCUAAUCCAAAUUAACAGCUUGUGGUGAGAUAAUGAAGAACAUGCUAAUUAAGGGGACACCCAGGAAGGAGGUGUUGAGAACUGGGGAGCGGGGAGCUGUAUUUUAAUUUGUAUUUAGACACAGACAACAACGUUCAUCUUUUACAUUUUGUAAUGCCUGUAAUGAAUUUAUACAUGUUUGAAAUCAAAAUAUAUUAUGUCACAUAAACAUAAAAGUAUAACUGUGGUCUCCCUACACUUCAGCAUUUCUGAUGUUACUGACUGGUAAAGUUUAUUUUUUU